UUCGAAUAAAAAUAUCUCAAGGUGGGGGGAGGAAAGCAUUUGUCUCAAGAAAUGUUAAGAACAUGAUAGUGUGUGCCUUGGAACCAGCCACGGAGGCCUGCUGAUGUCCCAGAGCAGAAAUAGCCCGUUUCAUCAUCGGCUCUGGACAACCACGGCCUGCAUUCCUCGAGUAAGGAGCCAUACUCUGCCACGCUUUUGGAGCAAAAUAAUCUGGCCAGCCGCAGGCUGGGGGAAGGCUGGGCUGGGUUUCAAGGGGAGAGAUGCAGAAGGAUGAGAAAUAACCAGAGAAGAUGCAAGAACCUUCUGGAAAGCUGCUGGAAGACUUCUGGGUUGGGGCUCUGUCUGAAGAGGACCUGGCUUUGGUUACAAUGUCUUUGGCCCCCGCAGCACGGACGCUGCAGCGCCACUCCAGUCACCCUCCUUGGUGCUGGCUGUGAACUCCUCUGACCUAUGUUGAGAUGAACAUGAGUAUGUAAAACAAGCAACCAGGAAGCACUCUGCACCUAUUAAUACUAAGUCAGUCUCAUCUUCAGAAACGCUCACCUGCGGUGAGCAGAUACCUCUUCAUGAAAUAUGAAAUCCACCCAAAUUUAUUAAAGCCUCCUGUGCAGUGGUGGGAGCUCAAACCGAGCGGCCCUCCACGAGUGCCUCAUUA